AUUGAACGCUGGCGGCAUGCCUAACACAUGCAAGUCGAGCGGCAGCACAGCCCGCAAGGGUGGGUGGCGAGUGGCGGACGGGUGAGGAAUACAUGGGAAUCUACCCUGUCGUGGGGGAUAACGUAGGGAAACUUACGCUAAUACCGCAUACGACCUCCGGGUGAAAGCGGCGGACCGCAAGGCGUCGCGCGACUGGAUGAGCCCAUGUCGGAUUAGCUAGUUGGCGGGGUAAAGGCCCACCAAGGCGACGAUCCGUAGCUGGUCUGAGAGGAUGAUCAGCCACACUGGAACUGAGACACGGUCCAGACUCCUACGGGAGGAAGCAGUGGGGAAUAUUGGACAAUGGGCGCAAGCCUGAUCCAGCAAUGCCGCGUGGGUGAAGAAGGCCUUCGGGUUGUAAAGCCCUUUUGUACGGGAAGAAAUCCUGUCGGUUAAUACCCGGCGGGGAUGACGGUACCGUAAGAAUAAGCACCGGCUAACUUCGUGCCAGCCGCCGCAGUAA
rnacentral:rRNA from 1 species